GCACUAGAGGUCUCAGGUGUUGACUUACUGUGACUCUUAGGCAGACCAGCCCAUCCACGGGCUUCCCUCCCCAUGCAUGUAGUUUUGGGGGGUGGGGGACUGGCUGCAGAAAGCCCUUUGAACUCUGGUCCUCAGUGGGUACUAAGGUCCUUUGGGGAAGCUGAGCUAUAGACCAUCUACUUCCUGUUUCCUGCUCAGAAUGAGGGACUGCAGGCCCAGUCAGCCAGAGCUUGCUGCCCCUGUAUGAAAGUCCUGUCUCCACUCAUGCUGCUCCAAGCCCCCAGCUGUCUGAGAAAUCAGCGUCAGGUGACCAAGAUGCUCCAAGCCCAGAGCCCUAGCCAUAAGGAAUGCAGUUCUCCUGCUCCAAAAAGAGACAACUAUUCUUGGCAGCAUAGCCUCAGUUUCCUUCCCCUCGGGGCAUCUUUCAUCCCCAGGCCCUGCCGUGGAGCUCCAGACGGAGCAAGUGUCCCCAUGAAGGUGCCUUCCUGUAGGACAGUGGCCACUCCUGAGCCAGAUCCCACAGCAGAGACCUCCACACUCAUUACAGGCAGCUGAACCAUGCGAGUGAGGACCUGCUGUCUUUGGCAUUCUGAAUUCUUUCUCCUUUUCUUUUUCCUGCCUCAGUUUGGUCUUGCUAACAGAAUCUACCCUUAGACUCACAGACGUCCCCAACCUACUUCUUCCCCCUCUGCUCUCUUUGUCCCAUUCUAUCCAUCCUGUGGCAUCGUCCUGUGCACUGCUUGGGGUAUGGGUGAGGUAGGGAGGGGUGCUCUGGGCUGUUCUGUCUUCGCCUCCUACCCCUCCCUUUUAACCUCCAUCAUCUCUGUAUAGAUCCAUAGACAUUUUCAAAGUGGAUUAAACAUCUGUCCCUAUCAAUCAGCACCACCACGGGACCUGCCAGGGGCCCGCACAGCACCCUGGAGAAAGCAAAAGCCAAUAAAUUUGUUUCCCACA
rnacentral:lncRNA from 1 species